CAAUUUGUAAAACGGCAAUCAUGAAUGUUAAAUGGAGGUGAAAAGAGCUUUGAGAUUUUUUUUUUAAUUCAAAAACUGUGAAUCUCAGCGGGAUUAGAGGUUAGAAAAAGUGACAAAUAUUGAAAAAUCAAGACGAAUGAUUAAAUAUUCAUUCUAAUGUCCUGAAAUUGAAUUCAUCGAGCAUAUUCAUCCGAGGUUCAAAAUUUUUAAUAUCUUGGAAAAAACUCAAGGAAACUAGUCUAUAAUCUUCCUGGAAGCACUGAACGUACUUUUUCUACUUCUUCUUUGUUGGCUUCCGAAUGGGUCUUCACUUCUCUAUUUGUAUUAUUUCUACAACAUGGGACCACUAUUCCUGGACUGAAGAAUUAAAUAUUUUGCUGACAAACUGGGAGGAUGAUGAAAAAGCUGCAGUGUGGAAAUCAUCGAUUGGUGUCUUCAUUUCAUGAAGGAUGGGUUUUGGAGCUGCUCCUAUAGAAGAAAUCUGGCAAAGCUGAAUCGCAGUUUAUUGUAGGUUGAUCCACGAGAGAGAUGAAUCAUUUGUUUAAAGAGAGGAUAUUAUAUGCUGUCAUCGUAUUUCUAAAUCACCAAGAAGAAAUAAAUAGUGUUUAACAAUCUGGAAGGACAGGAAGGAUGUGGACGAAGAAAAGUGGCCCCAGUAUGUUGCCAUUUUUUUCCAAAUAUGUAGUUUAUUUUUUUUUUAUUUUAUUUUUUGCAUGGCACAUAGCUCCCGACCUGUGCAGAAGUGCAUGAAACAAACAGGGAUCUCGGGGGUGGCCCAAGAAGAAGCCAAGCUAGGGGCAAUGUUGUCAUUGCUUCAACGUGGGAUCGCCGAUCGUUGAGUCGUUUUUUAAUUUAACCCCUUCCCUGUUUAAUACAAUUUUAGAAUCAUUUUCGUUUAUUUAAAUUCAGUUUGCAAUAAAUUCAUAAAUUAAAAAUAAAUCUGUUUGGAUAUUAAUUUAAGAAUUUAAUUUUUUUAAUUCUAUUAUUAAAAAUGUUUAAAAACAGGGAAGGAAUUCUGGCAACAUAGUGACAGUAUUGACAAAAAUUUAUUAUUUUGUAGUAUUUUUUUAGGAGUUAUCUAAAGAGCAUGUAAUAUUUUUAAAAAUUUGCCCCUCUCCCAAUUGUUGUAUUCCCCUCACUCUGAAAUAUCACAUGUUUUAUGGAUAACCCUUUAUUACUACGUAAAUUAAUAUUAUUGUCAAUGUUUUUUUUAUUAUUUAUAUA